UACGGAGGAUGCAAGCGUUAUCCGGAUUCACUGGGUUUAAAGGGUGCGUAGGUGGGUCUGUAAGUCAGUGGUGAAAUCCCCGAGCUUAACUUGGGAACUGCCGUUGAUACUAUAGAUCUUGAAUAUCGUGGAGGUAAGCGGAAUAUGCCAUGUAGCGGUGAAAUGCUUAGAUAUGACAUAGAACACCAAUUGCGAAGGCAGCUUACUACACGAUCAUUGACACUGAGGCACGAAAGCGUGGGGAGCAAACAGG
rnacentral:rRNA from 1 species